UACCAGCAGCCCGAGUGGUGGACGGAUUAUUGGCCUAAGGCAUCCGAUAGCCGGUUUUACAAGUCCCCCGAGUUGAAAUCCCAACUAGCCUUAACAGAUGGGACCCGGCUACGGAGGGAACUACCUUAUAAGACUAGGAGGGCAGGAGAGGCGAAGCGGUAGGACGUACUACGUGGGAUAGGGGUAAAAUCCGUUGGAAUCCGAUUGAAGACCACCAGUGGCGAAGGC
rnacentral:rRNA from 1 species